CAGCAGCCGCGGUAAUACCAGCUCCAAUAGCGUAUAUUAAAGUUGUUGCGGUUAAAAAGCUCGUAGUUGAAUCUGUGUCGCACACCGUCGGUUCACCGCUCGCGGUGUUUAACUGGCGUGAUGUGGGACGUCCUACCGGUGGGCUUAGCCUCGCGAGGGGCGGCCCAACUAAUAUCCCGUCGCGGUGCUCUUUACUGAGUGUCGAGUCGGGCCGGUACGCUUACUUUGAACAAAUUAGAGUGCUUAAAGCAGGCUAUCCUCGCCUGAAUACUGCGUGCAUGGAAAAUGGAAUAGGACCUCGGUUCUAUUUUGUUGGUUUUCGGAACCCCGAGGUAAUGAUUAAUAGGGACAGAUGGGGGCAUUCGUAUUGCGACGUUAGAGGUGAAAUUCCUGGAUCGUCGCAAGACGGACAGAAGCGAAAGCAUUUGCCAAAAAUGUUUUCAUUAAUCAAGAACGAAAGUUAGAGGUUCGAAGGCGAUCAGAUACCGCCCUAGUUCUAACCAUAAACGAUGCCAGCUAGCGAUCCGCCGAAGUUCCUCCGAUGACUCGGCGGGCAGCUUCCGGGAAACCAAAGCUUUUGGGUUCCGGGGGAAGUAUGGUUGCAAAGCUGAAACUUAAAGGAAUUGACGGAAGGGCACCACCAGGAGUGGAGCCUGCGGCUUAAUUUGACUCAACACGGGAAACCUCACCAGGCCCAGACACCGGAAAGAUUGACAGAUUGAUAGCUCUUUCUUGAUUCGGUGGGUGGUGGUGCAUGGCCGUUCUUAGUUGGUGGAGCGAUUUGUCUGGUUAAUUCCGAUAACGAACGAGACUCUAGCCUGCUAAAUAGGCGUACCUUAUGGUAUCUCGAAGGCCCCCGGCUUCGGCCGGCGGGUUUUUACUACCAACGUACAAACAAAUCUUCUUAGAGGGACAGCGGCUUCUAGCCGCACGAGAUUGAGCAAUAACAGGUCUGUGAUGCCCUUAGAUGUUCUGGGCCGCACGCGCGCUACACUGAAAGAAUCAGCGUGUGUUCCCUGGCCGAAAGGCCCGGGUAACCCGCUGAACCUCCUUCGUGCUAGGGAUUGGGGCUUGCAAUUGUUCCCCAUGAACGAGGAAUUCCCAGUAAGCGCGAGUCAUAAGCUCGCGUUGAUUACGUCCCUGCCCUUUGCACACACCGCCCGU
rnacentral:rRNA from 1 species